CACGUAGUUAGCCGUGGCUUUCUAAUGAGGUACCGUCAAGGUACGAGCAGUUACUCUCGUACUUAUUCUUCCCUCACAACAGAGUUUUACGAUCCGAAAACCUUCUUCACUCACGCGGCAUUGCUCCAUCAGACUUUCGUCCAUUGUGGAAGAUUCCCUACUGCUGCCUCCCGUAGGAGUCUGGGCCGUGUCUCAGUCCCAGUGUGGCCGAUCACCCUCUCAGGUCGGCUACGCAUCGUCGCCUUGGUGAGCCGUUACCUCACCAACUAGCUAAUGCGCCGCGGGCCCAUCCUGUAGUGACAGCCGAGACCGUCUUUUAACAUUUCCCCAUGAGAGGAAAUGGAUUAUUCGGUAUUAGCCCCGGUUUCCCGGAGUUAUCCCAAUCUACAGGGCAGGUUGCCCACGUGUUACUCACCCGUCCGCCGCUAAAUCAGAAGAAGCAAGCUUCUUCAUCAUUCGCUCGACUUGCAUGUAUUAGGCAUGCCGCCAGCGUUCGU
rnacentral:rRNA from 1 species